ACCAGGAAGGGCCCUCUGGGUCAACCUCCCACCCAUGUUUAUUGUACCUUGUUGCUUCGGCGGGCCCGCCUCACGGCCGCCGGGGGGCUUCUGCCCUCUGGCCCGCGCCCGCCGAAGACACCAUUGAACACUGUCUGAAGAUUGCAGUCUGAGCAAUUAGCUAAAUAAGUUAAAACUUUCAACAACGGAUCUCUUGGUUCCGGCAUCGAUGAAGAACGCAGCGAAAUGCGAUACGUAAUGUGAAUUGCAGAAUUCAGUGAAUCAUCGAGUCUUUGAACGCACAUUGCGCCCCUUGGUAUUCCGGGGGGCAUGCCUGUCCGAGCGUCAUUGCUGCCCUCAAGCACGGCUUGUGUGUUGGGCCCCGUCCUCCUUCCCGGGGGACGGGCCCGAAAGGCAGCGGCGGCACCGCGUCCGGUCCUCGAGCGUAUGGGGCUUUGUCACCCGCUCUUGUAGGCCCGGCCGGCGCUUGCCGACAACCAUCAAUCUUUUUUCAGGUUGACCUCGGAUCAGGUAGGGAUACCCGCUGAACUUAAGCAUAUCAAUAAGCGGAGGAAACGUAUCAGGUAGGGGAGGAAGGUGAACUUUCCCACAUUGAUAAGUGAACGAGUUGUUUUCUGGAGCCUCCUAAAGCGCCGGGGGUGC
rnacentral:rRNA from 1 species